CACACGGUUAGGCUAGGCGGCCCAGAAAACCAAAGCGUGGGCUCGCCGUGACCAAGAGACCCCGAUCGACGCCUCACCUACCAAUCCAUAGCUCCGCCUCCGCCGCGACAUGUGUUGUGCUUGUACGACCUCGCCUUUUCCGAGCGUUCCCUGCACCUGAGCUGAGCUGCUUGCUUUGUCGUGGUAGGCUAAUCACUGCAACCCACGAGCGGACUUGCCGGUGCCCGGUGCUCGCACUGGCUGGAAAAAAAGAAUGCAAGGACGACAUGCUUCUCGGAGUCGGCCGUCUCAUCAAUGCAUGGCACCAUACACAGAGGAUCCGAGUAUUUGUUGGCUCUUGAUCAUGACGUAAAUCAAGCACAAUGAUCGGGAUGGCGCGCGACUUCUUUCGACAUGCAUAUCCGUAAUUAUCGGGAGGCCAAACUCUCAAAAGAUAAUUGAUGUCUCACAGAAGAUAAUUGAUGCAGCAUAUGCAUGGCACAGAGAAGCACGAACUUAGCCCGUAGUCCGCAGAUAUGUUGUGCCAGUGUUGCCAGCUCAAAGCUACGUCGACGUACGUGUUGACUGAUCGAUGGAUACAUGCAUGGAACUAUGGAAGAGACAUGCUGACAUGCAUGGCGCCGAAUGAUCGAUGCAUAUAUAUAGCUGGAGACGGAAGGAAGCAACAUAUUACAUUUAUGUAUAUAUAUGCAAAUUAAUUAGCAGGCAACCACAAGAGACGACGAACAUGGGGAGGUCGUCGGGGAGCCCGGAAAUACAGAGGGCGCGGCGACUGCAUGCUUGUGUGUGCACAAGUUUCCAUCGAGAUGGCUUCGGCUAAUAACAUGCAUCCAAAAGUUGCCGAGUAUUAAGAGCGCUCUUGUGCGCAUGCCAGCUAUAGCAAGGAAGACGAACGAGUGGUAGGAAGGCGAUGUUACAUGGUUGGAGCUUAGCUAGCCGCGACGUCCCAGUGCCACACUUGCUUGGAGCCAUUGGCUGCUCUCCUUUGGAGCUUUGCAAUGCACAUAACGGCGAUACGUGAUGGCCCUGGUCGAAGGGCCUAUCUAGCCUAACGACAUGCACACUUGCACAGUGUGAAUCAGUACUACUGUGGAGUUCUCUCGA